UACGAAGGUGGCGAGCGUUACUCGGAAUUACUAGGCGUAAAGGGCAGGUAGGCGGUUUAAUAAGUCUGUUGUGUAAGCUUCUGGCUUAACUGGGAGAGGUCAACAGAUACUAUUGAACUAGAGUAUGAGAGAGGGUACUGGAAUUCCCGGUGUAGCGGUGAAAUGCGCAGAUAUCGGGAGGAAUACCAAUGGCGAAAGCAGGUACCUAGACCAUUACUGACGCUCAGCUGCGAAAGCUAGGGGAGCAAACAGG
rnacentral:misc_RNA from 1 species